rnacentral:rRNA from 1 species
CGUGUAGGCGGCUCAUCAAGUCUGGUGUGAAAACGCAAGGCUUAACCUUGCGUAUGCGCUGGAAACUGGUGGGCUUGAGUUCCUGAGGGGAAGCUGGAAUUCCAGGUGUAGGGGUGAAAUCUGUAGAUAUCUGGAAGAACACCGGUGGCGAAGGCGAGCUUCUAUCAGAGGACUGACGCUGAGGCGCGAAAGCGUGGGGAGCAAACAGGAUUAGAUACCCUGGUAGUCCACGCUGUAAACGAUGUGCACUAGGCGUGGGGCCCGUACGGGUUCUGUGCCGUAGUUAACGUGUUAAGUGCACCGCCUGGGGAGUAUGCUCGCAAGGGUGAA